GGCGUCGAUAUUCGACGUCAUAAACACGAUCAACUUUGGUGUUUAUGACGUCGAUAUUCGACGUCAUAAACACGAUCAACUUUGGUGUUUAUGGCGUCGAUAUUCGACGUCAUAAACACGAUCAACUUUGCUGUUUAUGACGUCGAUAUUCAACGUCAUAAACACGAUCAACUUUGGUGUUUAUGACGUCGAUAUUCGACGUCAAAAACACGAUCAACUUUGGUGUUUAUGACGUCGAUAUUCGACGUC
rnacentral:miRNA from 1 species